UCUUAUGGAUGCGCAAAAGAAAGUGAUUUCUUGAGAUGGAAUCUACUCCUGGUGAAGAUGCUGUGAA
rnacentral:pre_miRNA from 2 species